UUGUACAUAGUAGGCUUUCAUUCACUCGUGUACUUAUACGGUGAGGGUCUACUGUGUGCCAG
rnacentral:pre_miRNA from 1 species